CUCAAAUGCAAUUAAUUUCUUUACCCAUGUUUUAAAGUAUUUUAAAUUUAUCAGAGUGCAUUGCUCACAUAGUUUCAUAUUUUUUAUCCAUUUUGUAGGAAAAUAUUUUUUGAGAGUGUGAUAAUCGAAACGUUUUGUUUUGUUUGUUUUUUGAUUGGUUAGUUGGUUUGUCAGAGGAAUAGAAGAUUUUUCCCAUGCGAUCACAUCUUUGGUAAGGACAGGAUGUUUAUAUUAUAGUGAUAUAAAGGAAAGAAAUACCAACAAUUGGAUACUUCCGUAAGGACAUAAUAACCAACUGUAACUUGUUUUGUGUGUUUCUGUCUGUUAAGUGCAUCUAGUGAGAGUGAAGCUGAAAAUCUUGAAGCACAACCCCAGUCUACUGUCCGUCCAGAAGAGAUCCCUCCUAUACCUGAAAAUAGAUUCCUAAUGAGAAAAAGUCCUCCUAAAGCUGAUGAGAAGGAAAGGAAAAACAGAGAGAGAGAAAGGGAAAGAGAGUGUAAUCCACCUAACUCCCAGCCUGCUUCAUACCAGAGACGACUUUUAGUUACUAGAUCUGGCAGGAAAAUUAAAGGAAGAGGACCAAGGCGUUAUCGAACUCCUUCCAGAUCCAGAUCAAGGGAUCGUUUCAGACGUAGUGAGACUCCUCCACAUUGGAGGCAAGAGAUGCAGAGAGCUCAAAGAAUGAGGGUAUCAAGUGGUGAAAGAUGGAUCAAGGGGGAUAAGUAAGAUUUAACU
rnacentral:sRNA from 1 species